rnacentral:rRNA from 1 species
UACGUAGGGUGCAAGCGUUAAUCGGAAUUACUGGGCGUAAAGCGUGCGCAGGCGGUGAUGUAAGACAGAUGUGAAAUCCCGGGCUCAACCUGGGAACUGCAUUUGUGACUGCAUCGCUGGAGUACGGCAGAGGGGGAUGGAAUUCCGCGUGUAGCAGUGAAAUGCGUAGAUAUGCGGAGGAACACCGAUGGCGAAGGCAAUCCCCUGGGCCUGUACUGACGCUCAUGCACGAAAGCGUGGGGAGCAAACAGG